GGCUGCGAUCAUACCAGCAAUAACGCACCGGAUCCCAUCGGAACUCUGAAGUUAAGCGUGCUUUAGCGAGAGUUGUACUAGGAUGGGUGACCCUCUGGGAAGUCCUCGUGUUGCAUACC